GGAGCAGUUCUACGAGCUUGUCAACACCAGAGAGCAGCGACGCAAUGUCCGCGAUGCGGCCGUCUCUACGGCCGCCUAUCCUCCCUGCGAAGAAUCUUCUGUGCAGAUCCGCAUCCGAAAUAGUGAGGACCGUAGCCAUUGGCCCAUCGGGACCGCGGCCAGCAGGAAUUUGGGUGUGGACAUUAGUCAGCGGCAGCGUGACAGGGGGGAAAUCUUGGUGUUUCAUGCCGCCACGUCGACCAUCAACCCCUGCAUGCACUACGAGGCGUAUGAGAUGGCUUACCGCUUUUUUAAAGUGCACACGCCCAAGUUCCGCCUUGGAGGGUGGGUAUGGGAAACGCGCGGUUGCACCAGAACGAUAAUCGGUUCGAAACAAGUGCCAGUUGCUCCGUUUGGGCCUUGACACUUAGCUUCUGUUCUGCAGUUUUCGGAUUAUGGCACCCGUUGCCAAACUGAUGGUUAACUACUGUAUAUGUUUCAAUUUUGACAAGUCAAAUAUGCGCGGAGGAUUGGUUUUAGUUACAAAGUUUAUGCAGAUCGUUCUUUUAUCGAUGCUUUAUAAGAUUUUGUACCCGUAAAGGAUUUAAGGAAAGCGGGAAGGUUGUCGAUAAAGAGUCCGGAAUCGGAAUGUUUUGGCGACCGCAAUUGCAGCAGCGGCUACAAGGAUUAGGGUCAAAUGGGUAAUUUUGAAGGCACGCGAUGAAAAUCAUGAUAUUAUACCAGCCUUUAGUUCUCAGGGACGGAUUUGGCGUUUGGACGUUGGUUCUCUGCUAAAAUUUGACCGCCAGCAGGAUUCGUACAAAUGCCCGUCGAAAGCUCGAAACCCGAAG
rnacentral:lncRNA from 1 species